GUAGCUUAAGGGUAGAGCAUUUGCUUUGCAUGCAGAAGUCCCAAGGUUCAAUCCCUGGAGUCUCCA